rnacentral:rRNA from 1 species
GAUUAACGCUGGCGGCGUGCAUAACACAUGCAAGUCGAACGAUGAAACUUAACUGAUUUCUUCGGAAUGAUUUUAAGUGGAUUAGUGGCGGACGGGUGAGUAACGUGUGAGUAACCUGCCUUGGAGAAGGGGAUAGCCUUUGGAAACGAAGAAUAAUACCCUAUGAUAUGAUAAUAUCUCAUGAUAUUAUCAUCAAAGAUUUAUCGCUCUAAGAUGGACUUGCGUCUGAUUAGUUAGUUGGUGAGGUAACAGCUCACCAAGGCAGCGAUCAGUAGCCGGCUUGAGAGAGUGUACGGCCACAUUGGGACUGAGACACGGCCCAGACUCCUACGGGAGGCAGCAGUGGGGAAUUUUGCACAAUGGGGGAAACCCUGAUGCAGCGACGCCGCGUGAUUUAGAAGGCCUUCGGGUUGUAAAAAUCUUUUGUAUGGGAAGAAAAUGACAGUACCAUACGAAUAAGGACCGGCUAAUUACAUG